rnacentral:rRNA from 3 species
UUAAGCGACUAAGCGUACACGGUGGAUGCCCUGGCAGUCAGAGGCGAUGAAGGACGUGCUAAUCUGCGAUAAGCGUCGGUGAGGUGAUAUGAACCGUUAUAACCGGCGAUUUCCGAAUGGGGAAACCCAGUGUGUUUCGACACACUAUCAUUAACUGAAUCCAUAGGUUAAUGAGGCGAACCGGGGGAACUGAAACAUCUAAGUACCCCGAGGAAAAGAAAUCAACCGAGAUUCCCCCAGUAGCGGCGAGCGAACGGGGAGGAGCCCAGAGCCUGAAUCAGUGUGUGUGUUAGUGGAAGCGUCUGGAAAGGCGUGCGAUACAGGGUGACAGCCUCGUACACAAAAAUGCACAUAUUGUGAGCUCGAUGAGUAGGGCGGGACACGUGGUAUCCUGUCUGAAUAUGGGGGGACCAUCCUCCAAGGCUAAAUACUCCUGACUGACCGAUAGUGAACCAGUACCGUGAGGGAAAGGCGAAAAGAACCCCGGCGAGGGGAGUGAAAAAGAACCUGAAACCGUGUACGUACAAGCAGUGGGAGCCUCUUAAUGGGGUGACUGCGUACCUUUUGUAUAAUGGGUCAGCGACUUAUAUUCUGUAGCAAGGUUAACCGAAUAGGGGAGCCGAAGGGAAACCGAGUCUUAACUGGGCGUUAAGUUGCAGGGUAUAGACCCGAAACCCGGUGAUCUAGCCAUGGGCAGGUUGAAGGUUGGGUAACACUAACUGGAGGACCGAACCGACUAAUGUUGAAAAAUUAGCGGAUGACUUGUGGCUGGGGGUGAAAGGCCAAUCAAACCGGGAGAUAGCUGGUUCUCCCCGAAAGCUAUUUAGGUAGCGCCUCGUGAAUUCAUCUCCGGGGGUAGAGCACUGUUUCGGCAAGGGGGUCAUCCCGACUUACCAACCCGAUGCAAACUGCGAAUACCGGAGAAUGUUAUCACGGGAGACACACGGCGGGUGCUAACGUCCGUCGUGAAGAGGGAAACAACCCAGACCGCCAGCUAAGGUCCCAAAGUCAUGGUUAAGUGGGAAACGAUGUGGGAAGGCCCAGACAGCCAGGAUGUUGGCUUAGAAGCAGCCAUCAUUUAAAGAAAGCGUAAUAGCUCACUGGUCGAGUCGGCCUGCGCGGAAGAUGUAACGGGGCUAAACCAUGCACCGAAGCUGCGGCAGCGACACUAUGUGUUGUUGGGUAGGGGAGCGUUCUGUAAGCCUGUGAAGGUGGCCUGUGAGGGUUGCUGGAGGUAUCAGAAGUGCGAAUGCUGACAUAAGUAACGAUAAAGCGGGUGAAAAGCCCGCUCGCCGGAAGACCAAGGGUUCCUGUCCAACGUUAAUCGGGGCAGGGUGAGUCGACCCCUAAGGCGAGGCCGAAAGGCGUAGUCGAUGGGAAACAGGUUAAUAUUCCUGUACUUGGUGUUACUGCGAAGGGGGGACGGAGAAGGCUAUGUUGGCCGGGCGACGGUUGUCCCGGUUUAAGCGUGUAGGCUGGUUUUCCAGGCAAAUCCGGAAAACCAAGGCUGAGGCGUGAUGACGAGGCACUACGGUGCUGAAGCGACAAAUGCCCUGCUUCCAGGAAAAGCCUCUAAGCAUCAGGUAACAUCAAAUCGUACCCAAAACCGACACAGGUGGUCAGGUAGAGAAUACCAAGGCGCUUGAGAGAACUCGGGUGAAGGAACUAGGCAAAAUGGUGCCGUAACUUCGGGAGAAGGCACGCUGAUAUGUAGGUGAAGCGACUUGCUCGUGGAGCUGAAAUCAGUCGAAGAUACCAGCUGGCUGCAACUGUUUAUUAAAAACACAGCACUGUGCAAACACGAAAGUGGACGUAUACGGUGUGACGCCUGCCCGGUGCCGGAAGGUUAAUUGAUGGGGUUAGCGGUAACGCGAAGCUCUUGAUCGAAGCCCCGGUAAACGGCGGCCGUAACUAUAACGGUCCUAAGGUAGCGAAAUUCCUUGUCGGGUAAGUUCCGACCUGCACGAAUGGCGUAAUGAUGGCCAGGCUGUCUCCACCCGAGACUCAGUGAAAUUGAACUCGCUGUGAAGAUGCAGUGUACCCGCGGCAAGACGGAAAGACCCCGUGAACCUUUACUAUAGCUUGACACUGAACAUUGAGCCUUGAUGUGUAGGAUAGGUGGGAGGCUUUGAAGUGUGGACGCCAGUCUGCAUGGAGCCGACCUUGAAAUACCACCCUUUAAUGUUUGAUGUUCUAACGUUGGCCCGUAAUCCGGGUUGCGGACAGUGUCUGGUGGGUAGUUUGACUGGGGCGGUCUCCUCCUAAAGAGUAACGGAGGAGCACGAAGGUUGGCUAAUCCUGGUCGGACAUCAGGAGGUUAGUGCAAUGGCAUAAGCCAGCUUGACUGCGAGCGUGACGGCGCGAGCAGGUGCGAAAGCAGGUCAUAGUGAUCCGGUGGUUCUGAAUGGAAGGGCCAUCGCUCAACGGAUAAAAGGUACUCCGGGGAUAACAGGCUGAUACCGCCCAAGAGUUCAUAUCGACGGCGGUGUUUGGCACCUCGAUGUCGGCUCAUCACAUCCUGGGGCUGAAGUAGGUCCCAAGGGUAUGGCUGUUCGCCAUUUAAAGUGGUACGCGAGCUGGGUUUAGAACGUCGUGAGACAGUUCGGUCCCUAUCUGCCGUGGGCGCUGGAGAACUGAGGGGGGCUGCUCCUAGUACGAGAGGACCGGAGUGGACGCAUCACUGGUGUUCGGGUUGUCAUGCCAAUGGCACUGCCCGGUAGCUAAAUGCGGAAGAGAUAAGUGCUGAAAGCAUCUAAGCACGAAACUUGCCCCGAGAUGAGUUCUCCCUGACUCCUUGAGGGUCCUGAAGGAACGUUGAAGACGACGACGUUGAUAGGCCGGGUGUGUAAGCGCAGCGAUGCGUUGAGCUAACCGGUACUAAUGAACCGUGAGGCUUAACCUU